rnacentral:rRNA from 1 species
UACGUAGGGGGCAAGCGUUGUCCGGAAUCAUUGGGCGUAAAGAGCGUGUAGGCGGUUCGGUAAGUCGGCUGUGAAAGUCCAGGGCUCAACCCUGGGAUGCCGGUCGAUACUGCCGGACUAGAGUUCGGGAAGAGGCGAGUGGAAUUCCCGGGUGUAGCGGUGAAAUGCGCAGAUAUCGGGAGGAACACCUAUGGCGAAGGCAGCUC